CAUUAUCGUACAGUGGGGGUACCAGGGUUGUCGCUGACUUUUCGUCGUGCACACCCGAGUGCUCUCAUAUACAAAUAUCCAUCUCACCCCUUUGUGCAUCACCGCGUGCGUCCCCCCUUCCUCGGAGGGGGGUGCUCACGUUUUUAACAUAAAACACCCUAGUGUAGAAUGUUCUUUGCGCGAUCACGCGCGAAUCAAUACAACUUUCAACAACGGAUCUCUUGGCUCUCGCAUCGAUGAAGAACGCAGCGAAAUGCGAUACGUAAUGUGAAUUGCAGAAUUCAGUGAAUCAUCGAAUCUUUGAACGCACCUUGCGCCCCUUGGCAUUCCGAGGGGCACACCCGUUUGAGUGUCGUGAACAUCCUCAACCUGCUUCGUUCUAUCGAACCAAGUAGGCUUGGAAUUUGGAGGUUUUUCUGCUGGCUUUCCUCUCUGAAGCCAGCUCCUCUUAAAUCUAUCAGUGGGAUCCGCUUUGCUAGAUCCUCGACGUUGAUAAGAUGUUUCUACGUCUUGGCUUUCGCUCGGGAAGGACCUGCUUCUAACCGUCCCCAUCGGGGACAAUGUUCGAGAGCCGAUCGCCCUUCACGGGGUGGGAAGCUUUUCGACCCAUGAAACCUUGACCUCAAAUCGGGUGAGACUACCC
rnacentral:rRNA from 1 species